rnacentral:rRNA from 1 species
AUUGAACGCUGGCGGCAUGCCUUACACAUGCAAGUCGAACGGUAACAGGUCUUCGGAUGCUGUCGAGUGGCGGACGGGUGCGUAAUACAACGGAACGUGCCCAGACGCUGGGGGUAACGAGGCACAAGCUUUGCUAAUACCGCAUACGAGCUAAGGAUUAAAGCCGGGGACCUCAAUGCCUUGUGCGGUUUGUGCUGCCGAUGGUAGAUUAGGUAGUUGGUGGGGUAAUAGCUUACCAAGGCGACGAUGUGUAGCCGAUCUGAGAGGAGGAGCGGCCACACUGGAACUGAGAAACGGCCCAGACGACUACGGGAGGCAGCAGUAGGGAAUCUGCGGCAAGGGGCGAAAGCUUGAUGGAGCAACGCCGCGUGAGGGAUGAAGGUCUUCGGAUCGUAAAAAUCUGUUAUGAAGGAAGAAAAAAUGUGUAAGUAAAUAUGCAGGUCUUGACGGUACCGAAUCAGAAAGCCACGGCUAACUACGUG